CCUACGGGAGGCAGCAGUGGGGAAUAUUGCACAAUGGGGGAAACCCUGAUGCAGCGACGCCGCGUGGGUGACGAAGUAUUUCGGUAUGUAAAGCCCUAUCAGCAGGGAAGAAGAUGACAGUACCUGACCAAGAAGCCCCGGCUAACUACGUGCCAGCAGCCGCGGUAAUACGUAGGGGGCAAGCGUUAUCCGGAUUUACUGGGUGUAAAGGGAGCGUAGGUGGCAUGGCAAGCCAGAAGUGAAAACCCGGGGCUUAACCCCGCGGAUUGCUUUUGGAACUGUCAGGCUGGAGUGCAGGAGGGGCAGGCGGAAUUACUGGUGUAGCGGUGAAAUGCGUAGAUAUCAGGAGGAACACCGGUGGCGAAGGCGGCCUGCUGGACUGUAACUGACACUGAGGCUCGAAAGCGUGGGGAGCAAACAGGAUUAGAUACCCCUGUAGUC
rnacentral:rRNA from 1 species